AGAAAUUGGCGCAGCGUUGGAGAUGGCAUAAUAAGCAAUAAAAAAAUUUCGAUGUGAUUUUUGGCAAUUCCAAUGUCUGAUUAAGGUGUUUUCGGUGGCGUUGGACUCCUGACAGUAAGAGCUUUCAUUUGAGACUAGUCACGGGAUUUCAUAAAGUUUCCGAUGAGAUUGAGGAGAGAGAAAAUUGAGACUUAUGUCUCAGAUCUCGGAUGAUCAGCGGCUUAUUUUAGUGAUAAGCCCAGUUAUAGUGAUAUACGUUCCACAAGCUUCAAGUUCACACUUAGUAUGUCUCGAUGGGGCAAUGUACGACGAAAAGGAUAAACGGAUGGAUGAAAUUAAUUUGGCGGAUAUUGGACGAUCGAAAGGAAUUUUGACGAACUGUCUUCGAAUCUAUGAAUCUUGGACAUUUCAAAAAGUGUAUUCGAAGCAUCCAUAUCUCACCGUUGCUCAGGAUUGAAUUUUUACGCCGAUCGAUGUACUCGAGAGACCAUUUUGAUGAUAUAUUUUGCUGAUUCUUGCAGAAUGAUUUAAGUGAACGUAUUGAAUUGAGAGAGCAAAUAUAUGGG
rnacentral:lncRNA from 1 species